rnacentral:rRNA from 1 species
UCGGGGUACUCGAGUGGCGAACGGGUGAGUAACACGUGGGUGAUCUGCCCUGCACUUUGGGAUAAGCCUGGGAAACUGGGUCUGGAAUACCGAAUAGGACCACGCGCUUCAUGGUGUGUGGUGGAAAGCUUUUGCGGUGUGGGAUGGGCCCGCGGCCUAUCAGCUUGUGGGUGGGGUAAUGGCCUACCAAGGCGACGACGGGUAGCCGGCCUGAGAGGGUGACCGGCCACACUGGGACUGAGAUACGGCCCAGACUCCUACGGGAGGCAGCAGUGGGGAAAUUGCACAAUGGGCGCAAGCCUGAUGCAGCGACGCCGCGUGAGGGAUGACGGCCUUCGGGUUGUAAACCUCUUUCAAUAGGGACGAAGCGNNAGUGACGGUACCUAUAGAAGAAGCACCGGCCAACUACGUGCCAGCAGCCGCGGUAAUACGUAGGGUGCGAGCGUUGUCCGGAAUUACUGGGCGUAAAGAGCUCGUAGGUGGUUUGUCGCGUUGUUCGUGAAAACUCACAGCUUAACUGUGGGCGUGCGGGCGAUACGGGCAGACUAGAGUACUGCAGGGGAGACUGGAAUUCCUGGUGUAGCGGUGGAAUGCGCAGAUAUCAGGAGGAACACCGGUGGCGAAGGCGGGUCUCUGGGCAGUAACUGACGCUGAGGAGCGAAAGCGUGGGGAGCGAACAGGAUUAGAUACCCUGGUAGUCCACGCCGUAAACGGUGGGUACUAGGUGUGGGUUCCUUCCUUGGGAUCCGUGCCGUAGCUAACGCAUUAAGUACCCCGCCUGGGGAGUACGGCCGCAAGGCUAAAACUCAAAGGAAUUGACGGGGGCCCGCACAAGCGGCGGAGCAUGUGGAUUAAUUCGAUGCAACGCGAAGAACCUUACCUGGGUUUGACAUGCACAGGACGCCGGCAGAGAUGUCGGUUCCCUUGUGGCCUGUGUGCAGGUGGUGCAUGGCUGUCGUCAGCUCGUGUCGUGAGAUGUUGGGUUAAGUCCCGCAACGAGCGCAACCCUUGUCCUAUGUUGCCAGCGGGUUAUGCCGGGGACUCGUAGGAGACUGCCGGGGUCAACUCGGAGGAAGGUGGGGAUGACGUCAAGUCAUCAUGCCCCUUAUGUCCAGGGCUUCACACAUGCUACAAUGGCCGGUACAAAGGGCUGCGAUGCCGUGAGGUGGAGCGAAUCCUUUCAAAGCCGGUCUCAGUUCGGAUCGGGGUCUGCAACUCGACCCCGUGAAGUCGGAGUCGCUAGUAAUCGCAGAUCAGCAACGCUGCGGUGAAUACGUUCCCGGGCCUUGUACACACCGCCCGUCACGUCAUGAAAGUCGGUAACACCCGAAGCCC